ensembl:snRNA U6 U6 spliceosomal RNA
GUGCUCGCUUCAGCAGCAUAUAUACUAAAAUUGGAAUGAUGCAGAGAAGAUUAGCAUGAUCUCUGUGCAAGGAUGAAAUACAAAUUCAUGAAGCAUUCCAUAUUUUU